CCAAGGUGAUCAGCUCAUGCAAGACCCUCGCUCUAGGAGCAUUUGUAGUACUUUCACCUGACAUGUAAUCAAAACCAUUAGCUUCAACCUCUCCUGACUAGGAGAAAUUGGUUAAUAGACCAUGUCUUUGCUUACCGAAUUCUUUAUUAACUCCAAUUCUUUUCAAAUAAUCAAUAUCCAAAUAUUCCGUAAAAGUUAAUAGUAGACGAGGAAUCUCCCAAGUGAACAUAUUCAAGGGAAACUACGGGCUAUACUCAGAGAAGGAACUAUUCAGAUGAUUUUGCAGAUUCAGCAGAGGAUAUGCUAAAUUUUAGAAGCUCAAACAGAAAGACCUUUGAAUAGGUUUAGAACUGCAAAGAUGAAAUGCGGAAGUGGAUAUACAAAAAGGAUGCUGCCCUCUUCUAGAUCCCAGGAGUUCUCUUCAUUCACCCGGUGGAUACUGAAAGAGACUAUGGCCAUGACCCAUCUGUUUCUCAAUCACACGGGUCUGAAAGUCACUUCUCUUAUGCUUCACUAUUGAGAACUAGUCACAGAGGCCCACCUCUGAGGGCAAAGGAACUGGGAAAUGCAGCUGCAUCAUUCCACACUGGACAGUUUCCACAGACCAUUCAACCAAGUGUCUCUGUCUCACGUGUCAUUUGCAUUUCUUCUCAAUGUUUUUUCCUUUAAAGACCUUGGUUACAGGGGGAGUCAAAUCAUCACACACAAUUCCACAUGCAAUAAAUCUUUUUUGUUAUAGAACAGAAAUAUUGGGGCACCUGGGUGGCUCAGUCAGUUAAGUGUCUGACACUGGCUCAGGUCAUGAUCCCAGUCCUGGGAUGGAGCCCCAUGUUGGGCUUCCUUCUCAGUGGGGAGCCUACUUCUCCCUCUCUGGCUGCCCCGCCCCUGCUGUGCUUGCUUACU